AAAUUGAAGAGUUUGAUCAUGGCUCAGAUUGAACGCUGGCGGCAGGCCUAACACAUGCAAGUCGAACGGUAACAGGAAGCAGCUUGCUGCUUCGCUGACGAGUGGCGGACGGGUGAGUAAUGUCUGGGAAACUGCCUGAUGGAGGGGGAUAACUACUGGAAACGGUGGCUAAUACCGCAUAACGUCGCAAGACCAAAGAGGGGGACCUUCGGGCCUCUUGCCAUCAGAUGUGCCCAGAUGGGAUUAGCUUGUUGGUGAGGUAACGGCUCACCAAGGCGACGAUCCCUAGCUGGUCUGAGAGGAUGACCAGCCACACUGGAACUGAGACACGGUCCAGACUCCUACGGGAGGCAGCAGUGGGGAAUAUUGCACAAUGGGCGCAAGCCUGAUGCAGCCAUGCCGCGUGUAUGAAGAAGGCCUUCGGGUUGUAAAGUACUUUCAGCGGGGAGGAAGGUGUUGUGGUUAAUAACCGCAGCAAUUGACGUUACCCGCAGAAGAAGCACCGGCUAACUCCGUGCCAGCAGCCGCGGUAAUACGGAGGGUGCAAGCGUUAAUCGGAAUUACUGGGCGUAAAGCGCACGCAGGCGGUCUGUCAAGUCGGAUGUGAAAUCCCCGGGCUCAACCUGGGAACUGCAUUCGAAACUGGCAGGCUUGAGUCUUGUAGAGGGGGGUAGAAUUCCAGGUGUAGCGGUGAAAUGCGUAGAGAUCUGGAGGAAUACCGGUGGCGAAGGCGGCCCCCUGGACAAAGACUGACGCUCAGGUGCGAAAGCGUGGGGAGCAAACAGGAUUAGAUACCCUGGUAGUCCACGCCGUAAACGAUGUCUACUUGGAGGUUGUGCCCUUGAGGCGUGGCUUCCGGAGCUAACGCGUUAAGUAGACCGCCUGGGGAGUACGGCCGCAAGGUUAAAACUCAAAUGAAUUGACGGGGGCCCGCACAAGCGGUGGAGCAUGUGGUUUAAUUCGAUGCAACGCGAAGAACCUUACCUGGUCUUGACAUCCACAGAACUUUCCAGAGAUGGACUGGUGCCUUCGGGAACUGUGAGACAGGUGCUGCAUGGCUGUCGUCAGCUCGUGUUGUGAAAUGUUGGGUUAAGUCCCGCAACGAGCGCAACCCUUAUCCUUUGUUGCCAGCGAUUAGG
rnacentral:rRNA from 1 species